rnacentral:rRNA from 1 species
GACGAACGCUGGCGGCGUGCUUAACACAUGCAAGUCGAACGGAAAGGCCCUGCUUUUGUGGGGUUCUCGAGUGGCGAACGGGUGAGUAACACGUGAGUAACCUGCCCUUGACUUUGGGAUAACUUCAGGAAACUGGGGCUAAUACCGGAUAGGAUCUCCUGCUGCAUGGUGGGGGUUGGAAAGUUUCGGCGGUUGGGGAUGGACUCGCGGCUUAUCAGCUUGUUGGUGGGGUAGUGGCUUACCAAGGCUUUGACGGGUAGCCGGCCUGAGAGGGUGGACGGCCACAUGGGGACUGAGAGACGGCCCAGACUGCUACGGGACGCAGCAGGGGGGAAUAUUGCGCAAUGGGCGGAAGCCUGAUGCGGCAGCGCCGCGUGCGUGAUAACGGCCUUCGGGUUGAAAACCGCUUUCGCCUGUGACGAAGCGUGAGUGACGGUAAUGGGUAAAGAAGCACCGGCUAACUACGUG